CUUUCCAAAAGACUCAGGGGAGAAUGAGGCGCCCUGUGGGCAGAGCAGCAAAGACUUAGAGAAGUGAGUCUCAGUGUGUUGCAUGGCAUCCACCUCAGAUAUUAAGGCAGUGUCCCUCAGAGAGAUCAGACUCAGUAGGUACAUGUUUAACAGACGUGGGUUGCAGAUGUGGAAGGUGUCCUCAGGUCCAUGAUGAGACAGCUGAAUGCUUCUCUGGAGAAAUAUCCUCAUUUUAAAAGUGGAAACACCCCAGAAUGUCGUCCUCCAUCUUCUUUAAACCACAUCAGGUCCCUCUGCAAUCAACCAGCUAAUCCAUAGAGGCGGCUUUAGAUGUUCUUAAACUAUUUAAAGGCAGAACUCAAUAGGUUUUAAACUAUUGAUUGUUUCAAACAUUUACGUUUAUUAUUCCAGCAUGAUGGGGACACCGAAGAUUAGCUGCCAUACAGCGCUGUGUCUUUGGGCCGUGAGCCCUAAAAUUGUAGCAUAAAGUAUAUUUGUUUAAAGCC